rnacentral:rRNA from 1 species
GAUGAACGCUGGCGGCGUGCCUAACACAUGCAAGUCGAACGGAGUUAUAUGAAAUUUUCGGAUGGAUUAUGACUUAGUGGCGGACGGGUGAGUAACGCGUGGGUAACCUGCCUCAUACAGGGGGAUAACGGUUGGAAACGGCUGCUAAAACCGCAUAAGCAUACAUUGUCGCAUGACAGAGUGUGAAAAUAUUUAUAGGUAUGAGAUGGGCCCGCGUCUGAUUAGCUAGUUGGUAAGGUAAUGGCUUACCAAGGCGACGAUCAGUAGCCGGCUUGAGAGAGUGACCGGCCACAUUGGGACUGAGACACGGCCCAAACUCCUACGGGAGGCAGCAGUGGGGAAUAUUGCACAAUGGGGAAACCCUGAUGCAGCGACGCCGCGUGAGUGAAGAAGUAUUUCGGUAUGUAAAGCUCUAUCAGCAGGGAAGAAAAUGACGGUACCUGACUAAGAAGCCCCGGCUAACUACGUGCCAGCAGCCGCCGUAA